rnacentral:rRNA from 1 species
UACGGGGGGGGCAAGCGUUGUUCGGAAUUACUGGGCGUAAAGGGCUCGUAGGCGGCCAACUAAGUCAGACGUGAAAUCCCUCGGCUUAACCGGGGAACUGCGUCUGAUACUGGAUGGCUUGAGGUUGGGAGAGGGAUGCGGAAUUCCAGGUGUAGCGGUGAAAUGCGUAGAUAUCUGGAGGAACACCAGUGGCGAAAGCGGCUUCCUGGUCCAGCACCGACGUUCAGGCACGAAAGCGUGGGGAGCAAACAGG